UACAGAGGGGGCAAGCGUUAUUCGGAAUUAUUGGCGUAAAGGGCGCGUAGGCGGCCUGGCAAGUGGAAGGUGAAAUCCCUCGGCUUAACCGAGGAACUGCCCUCCAAACUGCUUGGCUUGAGUCCGGGAGAGGGUAGUGGAAUUCCCGGUGUAGUGGUGAAAUGCGUAGAUAUCGGGAGGAACACCAGUGGCGAAGGCGACUACCUGGCCUGUUCUUGACGCUGAGGCGCGAAAGCUAGGGGAGCAAACGGG
rnacentral:rRNA from 1 species